GGGAAAGAGCACGGAACGGCGAGCGUGAAUCAAAACAUCGCGGAAGGAGAGUCGCGGGCUUUGCCUUGCCGGAGUUUGCUCGACAAAAGCUGCUGACGCCUGCACGGUGCCUCGCCUCGUCGUUGACACCUCGAUUGCCUCGGUUUUUAUGAUUGUGCUUAUUCAGAGAGGGGGACGAGGAGGAGGGGGAACCAGUAAGGACGUUAACGAUACUCCGAUAUCUACGCCGAUUCCGCGCUAUCGGAGCUCGGAGCUUCCCGGUUGAAUUCCACGAUGGCGUACUUUCGAUAUUUUGACGUCAGAACCCCAAGUAUUUUUGAAAAAAUAUAUAUUAUAGAUAUGUGAAAGAUUUUAGCAAGAUAUUCCACUUCUCACCAAAUAAUUGCAAAAGUUACAUCUUUCAAUCUUGAAUUGCUGACAAAAUAUAAAAAUUAUUUAUAAAAAAAACGCACGUUGAUAAACACAUAUGUAUUAUAUUAAUACAUUAAAAUUUAACCAGUUAUCGAGAAUUCAUCAAAACAUUUUAAUUCGCAAUUGCGUGUUAGUGCGUAUAUGUGCUUGAUGACACCAAAAUUAUUUCAUUUUGAGUUCAGAUAAUAUAAAGAUAUAAUAUUUCUUACGAUUAUACUUAUUCGUACAUUCAACAUGGAGAUAAUUCGUAAAAAAUUUCGUCUUUAUUUUAAUACUAUAUUUAAAAAUAAGAACAUAAAAAGGGAGGGAGAAAAGGCAAUGAUCAGGAACUUUUUAGAACAACUAAAAUAUUAAUUUGCGAGGCAUAAUGAUGUGAUACAAAUGGUUUAUUAUUUCGAUAAGAAUAAAUAAUUUCACUUCUUCUCUCGAUCCUUGCAUAUGUUUACCGUAAACAACAAGAUAGAAAUGAUAAAAUAUAUAUAUAGAUAAAGGUGUUCUUAGAAAUCUUAACUAUGGUCGAAGUUUACUGAUUAAACUGUUAAACAAUUCGGAGACCGAAAUAUUUUAGUCGCGAUAAGUCAGUUUUGCAAUACUUUUAAAGUUCGCUUAUUGAUAAGUUUUUAACAUUGAAUAUAUAUAUAGUAAAAAAAACAAAAUAGUUUUCGAUUACGUAUUUUUUAAAGUCAAUUAUAAGUGUCGGCUUUGAGUACAUUACAAUUUUGAUCGAAAUUUUCUAUUCGAGAGAUUCUCAUUUUACAAUAAUUAUUUAAUUUCUCUUUUCCAUCCCAUCUCAGGCAAAACUUGUAUUUAAAAAAAAAAAAUCAAUAAAAUAGGAAUAAUGUCUUAUACAAAGAUUUAAUUAUACGUAUAAAACUGAAUUUACUGUAGUUGCAAGAUAUAUGUUGCAUGCAACAUAAAAACAUGAUGUUUAAAUCAUGAGCUUCUCUCAAAUAAGCGAAGCCUUUGUUGUUUACGUUUAUUGUAAUGUUAAUGAUAUCAUACUAUUAUUAAAUGUGCAGUCGUUAUCGUAUUUUUUGCCAUUUUUUUUCUAUAAAAAAAUAAUUAUAUACCCGACUUCUAUCGAUUUCUUCAACAUGCGUAUGGUUAACCUUUUGAUUUAUAUAUAUGGUCGAAGAUUUUUCACGCCGACUUAUUGCGAUACCAUUCGCAUUGGAUGCAUAGAUUUAAAAAGAUAGAUUGGAAAAAAAAAGAUAUUAAGAUAAGAUAAAAAUAAGACAAGUAAACACAAAAGUAAACGUCCCCGCAUAUAGCGCAGCAGGAUAAUCUCUCGUAAUAAUAUACACAGAUUGUAUAUUUGCUAUUAUCCGUCAACAAAUGUACUGUACAU